rnacentral:rRNA from 1 species
AACGCAGCGAAAUGCGAUACGUAAUGUGAAUUGCAGAAUUCAGUGAAUCAUCGAAUCUUUGAACGCACCUUGCGCCCCUUGGUAUUCCGAGGGGCACACCCGUUUGAGUGUCGUGAAAAUCUCAACCUUCUCGGUUUCUUCUGGAUGCCGAAGGAGGCUUGGACUUUGGAGGCCUUUGCUGGCGUCUCUCGCCAGCUCCUCUCAAAUGAAUUAGCGGGGUCCUCUUUGCCGAUCCUCGACAUGUGAUAAGAUGUUUCCRUGUCUYGGUUUCUGGCUCUGUUGCCUUUGGGACCCGCUUCUAACCGUCUCAACGACGAUGUUUGUGAGCRCGUCUCCCUUCUCGGGAAACGCUCUCUCGAACCCCACGAACCCUUGACCUCAAAUCGGGUGAGACUACCCGCUGAACUUAAGCAUAUCAAUAA